AUUGAACGCUGGCGGCAGGCCUAACACAUGCAAGUCGAACGAGUGGCGGACGGGUGAGUAAUGUCUGGGAAACUGCCUGAUGGAGGGGGAUAACUACUGGAAACGGUAGCUAAUACCGCAUACCAUCGGAUGUGCACAGAUGGGAUUAGCUAGUAGGUGGGGUAAAGGCACACCUAGGCGACGAUCCCUAGCUGGUCUGAGAGGAGGACCAGCCACACUGGAAAUGAGACACGGUUCAGACUCCUACGGGAGGCAGCAGUGGGGAAGAGUGCACAAUGGGCGCAAGCCUGAUGCAGCCAGGCCGCGGGUAUGAAGAAGGCCUUUGGGUUGUAAAGUACUUUCAGCGGGGAGGCGUUACCCGCAGAAGAAGCACCGGCUAACUCCGUGCCAGCAGCCGCGGUAAUUC
rnacentral:rRNA from 1 species